rnacentral:lncRNA from 1 species
GCGGUGGGCGGCUGCCUCGGCCCCGGAUGGCUGUCUCCACAGAGGGCUGGCACUGGACCCUGCCUGGGGCACCCCACUUGAACCCCUACUCCCGGCCUCAGCUCUGGGACUCUGAACCCAGCACCUGCAAAGAGCCUGGCUGUGGGGACCCUUGGCUGCAGCAUCACAUUUAACCCUCCUUGGAAUGCUACAGGGAGCAUCCAGCAGACGGGAAGACAGAUGAUGCUGGAGACUGAGGAGCGACCUGCUGGAAGGAGAACAGUCCUUGGGGCGGAAUUCUGAGUGGGAUCCAACACAUUCAACAGCCGAUUGUGGAAUGAACAAACAACAGCUCAGCGCUUCCUUCUCCAAUGGGAUUAACUCUGCUUUCUCCUGCCCAGAGGGGGGGUUGGCCGCAGAGGAGCCAGGACAGUGCUCUGUCCCCUGUGUUCCAGUCCACAUCCCCCUCACCCCCGCCUGUCCUCAUGGUCUACGUGCCCAUGGGGAUACACUGGCCUGUGCAUUGCUUCCUGCUGGGUCUCAGACUCGGGGCUGUGGCAGAUGGGGACAGGGCCUGUCCUGGCACCAUCUGCCAAUUCCCUUUGUACUCCCAGUCCAUGAGGAAGUUGACUCUGCCCUGAAAACGACUGUUCCUGUGGUCCAUAAACAAAGGAAUGGAGAGUCAACAAUAGGCCGGGGUUGUUUCAUCUUCCUGAAUAAGCAAGCAGGUUAUUCUGAGAGCUGAUUGACAUAUGCAUGGGCAGAUGUUUUAUAAACUGCAUUCUCUACAAACUGAAGGGGCAAAUGUGAUGGAUUCCAAGGCUCCACAAGACAUUAUCAUGGUCAAUGUCCAGCAGACCAGAUAUGGGGUGAUCAAUUGUUUGAAGGUAAAAGGUAAGAGCCAUGAAGCCAAGUUACAAGAACAUCUGUGUUUACUGGGACAUUGGAGAGCCUUAGCUCAUGGAUAUAUAAGGCGACUUGGGCAGCAUCAGCCUUAUAGGGCUGAAAGGCAACCCCCUGGGGCAGUAUCCUUAAUGCGGCAAUUUAUUAGACAUGGUGAGAGCAGGUCACACUGUUCCUGGGAGUGGAGUGGCGUGAUCAUGGCUCACUGCAGCCUCAACCUCCUCCCCAGGUUCAGGUGAUUCUCCCACCUUAGCCUCCCGAGUAGCUGUGACUACCGGCUGGGGCCACCACGCCCAGCUAAUUUUUGUAUUUUUAGUAGAGACGGGGUUCCACCAUAUUGCCCAGGCUGGUCUCAAACUCCUGGCCUCAAGCGAUACACCUGCCUCGGCCUACCAACAUGUUGGGAUUACAGGUGUGAUCUGGUUCUUUCUGAUUGAGGAGUCUGUCUGGGCUCAGGAGGAGGGUCUUGUCUGCAUAAGAAGAUGGAUGAAACUUUCUCAGUUCCUUCCUGACACCAACAAGAAGAAACAGAGUGUAGCAUAAGCACACGGAACACUGGUCAAAAGGACAGGUUCUAGUCCUCACCACACCAUGAACUGGCUGUGUGAUCUUGGGCAAGUCAUUUCUCUUCUCUGGUCCACUCAGUGUCUCCAUUUGACAUACUGGAGAAUUGAAUUUAUCUGUCUCUAGGAUCUUUCCCUUUCACCUCCUUCCAUGGUUUUCUAAGUACCAUCUCUUUAUUUCUUACUCGCACACAAUCUCACCUCUGCCUUCUAGCUAGAAUGCAUGUUUCUGAGGCCAAGCAUCUUCCCCGAGUGCUCCCUAGUAAGUGCCUCACACAUGUGGGAUCAGAGCCUGUGGUUGCAUAGCAGUAAAAUUAGCAUUACCUGCAGGUGGGGGUGAGGGGUUUCACCCCAUCCUCCAGCUUCUUAGAGGAGAAAAUAUUUUAAUGGUUGGAAACAACCUGGAUCUACACAAAAGGGCAUGAAAACAGCCACUUAAAUUCUACGUGCACUUGGCACUGCAAAGAUCAGAAAACUCCCAUCAAGAUAGAUGAUACGAAGAAAAAAAGCAUGAGCACUUUGCUUUAAUUUAACUCAAGAUGACACCUCCAUCAUCCCGUGGUCUGUAGUCUCGCGAGGGUCCCCGCUCCCUUUUGCACAUGCGUGGUGUGUGUUCACACGGACUCUUCUACAGCUUUGCAUCGCUGGGUUCACAGCAUUCCUCCUCUCCCUCAUUGGUUCCACACAUUCAGCCAUAGCUGUUUGUGACUUCUCUCCUUCUGCAAUUGUUUGAAAACAGUGUCAGAGCAUGGCUCCUUUAUCUUGCUGUGAUUGCUUUAUUUAUUUAUUUAUUUUUUUGAGAUGGAGUCUUGCUGUGUUGCCCAGGCUAGAGUGCAGUGGCACGAUCUCAGCUCACUGCAACCUUUGCCUCCUGGGUUCAAGUGAUUCUCCUGUCUCAGCCUCCCGAGUAACUGGGAUUAUAGGCAUGCACUACCACGCCUGGCUAAUUUUUUGUAUUUUUAGUAGAGACAGGGUUUCACCAUGUUGGCCAGGCUGCUCUUGAACUCCUGACCUCAAGUGAUCCGCCCACCUUGGCCUCCCAAAGUGCCGGGAUUACAGACAUGAGCCACAGUGCCUGGCCAUUGCUGCGAUUGGUUCUAAGAGUCUUUCUGCCCUUUUUUCUCUCUUCCUGCUAUGCUAACCCUCACGGGACUCAGAUUUCUUGGGAAAGUUGCACAGGAAUCAUCUACUUUGCAGGGUUAGAUAUCAGCCUUGCCUUGAAAGGCUGAGCAUCAUAAACAGUAACACACAGUCUGUUUUCUCUCCCAUACUCCCACCCUCCCACACCUCAUACUGAAUAUUUAAGAGGUAUUGAGCUUUGGGGAAAAGAAGGGAGGAGAUGUUGGGGAGGAGGUGUUCCUUGAUAUGAGAAAGCCCAUUUCCAGAGAAUCAGAAGACUUGAAUUCAAUUCUGCUGUCAGGGGUCAUGGGGAAGUCACUUUAUCAUCUGGGACUCAGUUUCCCCAUAUGAAAAAUUGUCAUGAAAAUAAGUAAACCAUAAAGUCCAUUUUAAACUCCAAAAUAGAGAGACCCUCCCUCUCCUUUUCUAAGACCUUACUUAGGGUGAGGUCCCAUCAAGGUUCUUUAUAACGUACCCCUUUUAUUUAUUUGAGAUAGAAUCUUGCCCUUGUUGCCCAAACUGGAGUGCAGUGGCACCAUCUUAGCUCACUGCAGCCUUGAACUCCGGGGCUCAAGCAACCCUCCCACCUUAGCCUCCAGAAUAGCUGGGACUAUGGGCAUGUACCAUGCCCAGCUAUUUUUUUUUCCAUAGAGAUGGGGUCUCCCUGUGUUGCCCAGGCUGGUCUCGAACUCCUGGCCUCAACUGAUCCUCCUGCCUCGGCCUCCCAAAGUGCUGGGAUUAUAGGCACGAGCCAACAGUCCCAGUCAUGCACUCCAUUUAAUCCUCAAAACAGCCCUUUGAGGGUGGUGUUAUUAGCCUCAUUUUACAAAUGGGGCAACCAAGGUUCAGAGAGGUUAAUGGACCUGCCCAGUGAAAAAGUUUAUGAAGCCAGAGACCAAAUCCAGAAUUUUCUAACUCCAGCACCCAUGUUUCUAACUCUAGAGAUUUUUCUAACUCUACCCUCUCAAAUAUGAUGAGACUUUGGUGGUACUCUCAGGAAAACUGCUGAGAAAAUGUUGCUUGAUUUCCCUGCCCCCAUUUGCACAAUGGGUUCUAUGUCAUGGAGAACUUUCCUUUCAAAAAAUUUCCAAAGGACAAGUGAUGCAUUAUGUCUUCCAUUUUUGGCAACUUCACACAAUAACCUUAACAGCCUCUUGGCUUCCAUCUCCCAGGGAUGGCAUUUCAAGUAUGCCUGGUCAUGGAGUGCCUGUGGUUUAAAAUUUUAAUGGAAGACCCUUACCCCCAUCUGUCUUGAUUCGCUGUUGCCCUGUCCCUGGCUUCCUGGUGGUCACUGAGCUCUGCGGGCCCCCCUUCCCCCAGCCCGUCUCCUCCUGCCAUUGAGAGGGGCUGUUCUCUUUCCCAAGCGGCAAGCCCCUGAUUCUUUUAGCACAGCCAAUGGGCUCCACUGGGGCUUUCAAGCUUGCUGGCAAUUUUGGAUGUCAGCAGCUGGGAAAAUCAAGCUUAAUAUUUCAUGACAUUACAAAGUCAGUUUGUUCUAUUUUCAUCCCAGAUAGAGUGAAAAAGCAGUGUUCUCAUCAGGAGACUCUCCCAAAAAAGUGGGAGGCAGUUGGUCUGGGAGCCACAGCAGGUUGGCGGGGAGUACUGGGCAGGCGGUCAGCAUUUGGAUGCUCUGGUUUUGGCUUGACAGCCAACUAGCAGUUGACCUUCGGCGAGUGAUUCUCUCUCUGAGCUUUGACUUCCUCCUGCACAAAUAAACGAUCUCUCAGACCUUGUCAAGAAUAACUUUAGACUUUGCUGGGAAUGCAAUAUCUUCUGACAAGGAGGAGUUGGCUGGAACAGCCUGGGCUCUGUACCUGUCCCUCAGAUGUCCUUUGGUGCUUUAGCCCAGUGACUCAUCGAUCUCCCAGCCAUGGUUGAAGACAUGCCUGUUUCCCCUUCGCCAUCUGCCAUGACUGUAAGCUUCCUGAGGCCUUCCCAGUCAUGCUUCCUGUAUAGCCUGUGGAAACAUGCGCCAAUUAAAACCUCUUUUCUUUAUAAAUUACCUAGUCUCAGGUAUUUCUUUAUAGCAAUGCAAGAAUGGACAAAUACAGACAUCUUACGGAAAAAAGUUUAUCAAGUGGAAAGCUCUAUUGUGUACCCUCCUUGAAAAUAGAUGACCUGUUUUCUCAUCUUUCUCUUAGCGUGCUGUGGUCUUCACAUGCAGAAAGAGGAACAAGUUAAGUAGUGGUUGUCUUUGAAUAUUUUCUUAUUGAAUGGUUUCUGGCCUGGCUCAGUCCCCUUAACAUGUCAUCCUAAAGAAAUAACGAAAUAUCUUUUCCUUACAAGGCUUUCUAAAGUAUGACUUAUAAGUCAGAAACCACAAGAGAAAAUAUUAAUAAGUCCAAUAAUGUUAAAAUUGACUUAGCUAAAUGCAUCAUAAACAAGAUAAAAAAAACAUCAAACUGGAAAGAUGUUUGCAGGCUAUGUCACAGAGGAACGGAUGGUUUCUCUAAUAUAUAAAAAGUUCCAACAAACUGAUAAGAAAAGUGGACAAAGAAUACAAAAAGUCCAUAGAAAAGGAAGUAAAACUGCUUCUUAAGCAUAUGAAAAUUUACUUAGUCUCACGAGUAAGAAACAUAAAUUUUAAAAAACAUGGAGAUAGGCUGGGUGCAAUGGCCCACGCCUGUAAUCCCAGCACUUUGGGAGGCUGCUGCAGGUGGAUCAUUUGAGGUCAGUUUGAAAUCAGACUGGCUAACAUGAUGAAACCCUAUCUCUACUAAAAAUACAAAAAUUAACCAGGCAUGGUGGCAGGUGCCUGUAAUCCCAGCUACUAGGGAGGCAGAGGCAGGAGAAUUGCUUGAAUCUGGGAGGCAGAGGUUGAAGUGAGCCAAGAUUGUGCCACUGUACUCCAGCCUGGGCAACAGAGCAAGACUCCCUCUCAAAAAAAAACCACAAAAAAACAAAAACAAAAAAAGCCAGAAAACCCCCGCAAAACAUGGAGAUAAUCUUUUUCGUUUUUUCUGGGUGGCAAAGAUUAAAAAGUUAGAAAAUGCCAAGAUAGCGAGAGGUGUGUAUGAGUGUGAUAUUGGUGGUAGCGUAAAUUGCUAUAACUCUCUUGGGGGGGAAUUUGGCAAUAUCUUACCAAUAUCCUGCCAAUAUCUUUCUUACUCAUAAGUCAAAACUGUGCUUGUUAAAUCCACAAAUGAUAAUGUUUUUCCAUGUAUAUUGAAGUUUCUUAAGUAGUGUUUUAUAGAAUAAGUUUUCCUAAUACAUCAUUGAAGAGGUUUUCAGGAGCAUAGUUUGAAAAAUACUGACAGGUAUAAUGUAGGAAGUAGUUAGAAUAUAUCUGGGAGCUACCAACACCAUUCAGGUCUAGCUAUAGUGAUGUUUGCUGCCCCUCUUAGGAAGGGAAACCUUUCACAAACCUCCACCUUCAUUUUCUCCUCUUGCAAAUGCUUUUUGGUCAGAAGCAUAAAUGCCAGAGCUGCAAAAGUGAUUCAAAACCCAAGAGAACUCCCUGGGGAUAGUCUGUUCUCUCUGUAGCUGGGACAAGGAGAUGGCAGGCCCUUCUCUUCCCAAGAACCUCCCUGAUGUGCAACGAGAGGCCACAGACUUAUCUUGCAGCAUUAAUUAGGAGAGAUGCAACAUUUGGGGACAAUCUGUUCAAGAAACCCUGCACAGGACACGUUUUCAUCCUGGGCUCUGGGGCUGAUAUGUGCCAGUGGCCUAACUCCACACACCUCGAUGGAAUUCUCUGGCAGAACCGCUCCAAAAUGUGUGGAAAAAUCUGUUUUUCUGGAUUCUCCUUCUUUGCUUCAAG